rnacentral:rRNA from 1 species
UUGAAAGGGAAACGAUUGAAGUCAGUCGUGCUGGCGCGAAAUCAACCUUCUCGUCUUGAGAUCACAUGGCGUGGCGAGCCUCAAAACCGUCACGAAGCGUGAACUCUUGGUGAAAUGGAGCACUUUCGUGUCCGCUGGUUAACAUCAAUUUCGAACGUCAUAAAAAGGCUGGAGGGAUGUGGCUCCUUCGGGAGUGUUAUAACCUUUAGCGGAAUAUGGUGUUCGGGAUUGAGGAUUGCAACGAAUACCUUUAGGGCUGUUCCACCUGGCUUCUCUUUGGUAUCCUGGUGACGACAGCUUGCUGACGUCGUUAGGAUUCGCCUUUGAACAGGCUAGAGUGUGAGCAAAUUCGUUAAGGAUGUUGACGUA